AGCUAAGAAGCGAUACUUCGCCUCAAGUUUCGGCCUUGAUCUAGGUAAACCAUUACCCUUAGUUA
rnacentral:tRNA from 1 species